AAACUCCGAAUACCGGUGAGUACAGGCUGGCACUCAGGCUAUGGGAGCUAAGUUUCAUGGCCAAGAGGGAAAGAACCCAGAUCGUCAGCUAAGGCCCCAAAAUCUCUGCUAAGUGGCAAAGGAUGUGGGAGCACACAGACAGCCAGGAGGUUGGCUUAGAAGCAGCCACCCUUUAAAGAGUGCGUAAUAGCUCACUGGUCAAGUGAUUCCGCGCCGACAAUGUAGCGGGGCUCAAGUCAUCCGCCGAAGCUAUGGCAUUCAGC
rnacentral:rRNA from 1 species